ACAUGAAUCAGGUGGAGGUACAGAGUGGAGUUUCUCAAAUUUUAGUUUCAACACAGCUAGCCUGAAUAAAGCUCUGCAAGAUUGAGGCUUUUUUAUAUAAGCUUUAACCAGAUGGUGCAAAGGAAAUCAACCAGCUAUUUGUGUAUUUGAUAAAGGGAAAGCAUCGAAUAUUUGCACAUUGUAAUGGGGUGUGGAUCUCUUAGUGGCUGCCUGUUUGGGAGGAAGAAGGCUCCAGGCAGAUUUUGGACAUGUCCAAAUUUGCUGCAACCAUUUCAUAUGUUGUUUUCAAAGCUGCUUUUGUGAUCCAGAUUAGUAUUUUGAACAAAUACUUAGUUUUAAUGUAUCUUGACAUGUUCCCAUUA